rnacentral:rRNA from 1 species
CAGGCUUAACACAUGCAAGUCGAGGGGCAGCAUGGUCUUAGCUUGCUAAGGCCGAUGGCGACCGGCGCACGGGUGAGUAACACGUAUCCAACCUGCCGUCUACUCUUGGACAGCCUUCUGAAAGGAAGAUUAAUACAAGAUGGCAUCAUGAGUCCGCAUGUUCACAUGAUUAAAGGUAUUCCGGUAGACGAUGGGGAUGCGUUCCAUUAGAUAGUAGGCGGGGUAACGGCCCACCUAGUCUUCGAUGGAUAGGGGUUCUGAGAGGAAGGUCCCCCACAUUGGAACUGAGACACGGUCCAAACUCCUACGGGAGGCAGCAGUGAGGAAUAUUGGUCAAUGGGCGAGAGCCUGAACCAGCCAAGUAGCGUGAAGGAUGACUGCCCUAUGGGUUGUAAACUUCUUUUAUAAAGGAAUAAAGUCGGGUAUGUAUACCCGUUUGCACGUACUUUAUGAAUAAGGAUCGGCUAACUCCGUGCCAGCAGCCGCGGUAAUACGGAGGAUCCGAGCGUUAUCCGGAUUUAUUGGGUUUAAAGGGAGCGUAGAUGGAUGUUUAAGUCAGUUGUGAAAGUUUGCGGCUCAACCGUAAAAUUGCAGUUGAUACUGGAUAUCUUGAGUGCAGUUGAGGCAGGCGGAAUUCGUGGUGUAGCGGUGAAAUGCUUAGAUAUCACGAAGAA